CUCAUCUCUCAGCUGGACAGUAAGGGGCACGUUCACAUCGCACACUUCAAACAUGCUGGGAUUCCUCUGCUCUUUUCUCAUUUGGCUGACAUGUGACAGUGUUGAAACAGCCUCCUGUCCUGUCUGUGAGUCCAGGACAAACAGCCUCCUUGGACUUUAACACUGGGACAGUAGAUGACUUCUAAUUCCUCUUUUCUUUUAAAGAGUCCAGCCACACCCAGGGCUGUGGCCACUCAGCCUCCAUCCUCACAGAGUCAACAUGGCCCAGCAGAGACAAAGCUCUAGGAUUUUAACUCAAAAUGGAUAAGCACCAGCAAAUGAUCCCUAGCUUCCAGUUCAUCAGAAAACAAAAUGCUUAUGAGGAUCAUCAAACCGUGCCGAAGCCUGGCUUCUGAUGGGAGAAAAAACAAUGUUGGGACUAGCUGAUCCACAGGUGUCCAGGGGACGUUCAAGAAGAGCUACCAGUUGGAUGCCAGUGGAUUUAUAUGAAAGCAGUCAUCUCUACCAGUGAAAGGACAAUGCAUGCACACAAAUUCCUCUCGGUAGCUACAGUGAUUUGGGGUUUUGUGAAGCACUAUACUGAGAUGGUCGACUGGGACGGUCAGUUCCAGACGUUGUUUUGCAGCACUGGAGGAGUUUUUGCACGGGGAGGUGUCUGAAGUGCAUCACUGUGGUAUUUGUCAAAGGGACCAAGCUCACUGUUUCAGCCCAAGGACAACCUGCCCUCACUGUUUCAAUCACUCCUCCAUCACUGAACAUAAGAACAUAAGAAAGUUU